CCCGCACAAGCGGUGGAGCAUGUGGUUUAAUUCGAAGCAACGCGAAGAACCUUACCAGGUCUUGACAUCCUCUGACAAUCCUAGAGAUAGGACGUCCCCUUCGGGGGCAGAGUGACAGGUGGUGCAAAGUCAGCUCGUGUCGUGAGAUGUUGGGUUAAGUCCCGCAACGAGCGCAACCCUUGAUCUUAGUUGCCAGCAUUCAGUUGGGCACUCUAAGGUGACUGCCGGUGACAAACCGGAGGAAGGUGGGGAUGACGUCAAAUCAUCAUGCCCCUUAUGACCUGGGCUACACACGUGCUACAAUGGACAGAACAAAGGGCGGGAAACCGCGAGGUUAAG
rnacentral:rRNA from 2 species